AGCAGCUGUCUGAAGCCGGGGUGCAGGAGCAGGAGAGCACAGCGCCUCCAAGAGGAGCUGCUCCACCGACUCGCCUGGCUGCCGCGGGAGCACCUUUCUCUUAUUCCUGCAGAGUCCGCCCUAUCCUGGCCUGAGGGGCAGGCAAAAGAUCUAUGGUAGCCGGUCUAUAGACUGCCAAAGCUCUGUGGUGGCCUGUCCUGAAAAGGAUGUGUCUGGGAUUUGUGCAUGACCCUCUUCCCUCAAUAUCCAGGCGUUCAGCUGCAGAUGAGAAGCAACUCAGUGAAGUUUCAUGAUGCAGGCACAGCCGGAAAACCUGUCUCCAUGGCAACCCUAGGUUACCUCACCCAACAACAUUCAGAUGUUACUGACCACAGAAGCAUUUUUUCAAACGUGGAGCAAGCAUCAGCUAUGUCUACAUAGCCAAGAGUGUUUUUUUGAUGUUAUAUC
rnacentral:lncRNA from 1 species